rnacentral:rRNA from 1 species
GACGAACGCUGGCGGCGUGCUUAACACAUGCAAGUCGAAUGGAAAGGCCCUGCUUUUGUGGGGUGCUCGAGUGGCGAACGGGUGAGUAACACGUGAGUAACCUGCCCUUGACUUUGGGAUAACUUCAGGAAACUGGGGCUAAUACCGGAUAGGAGCUCCUGCUGCAUGGUGGGGGUUGGAAAGUUUCGGCGGUUGGGGAUGGACUCGCGGCUUAUCAGCUUGUUGGUGGGGUAGUGGCUUACCAAGGCUUUGACGGGUAGCCGGCCUGAGAGGGUGACCGGCCACAUUGGGACUGAGAUACGGCCCAGACUCCUACGGGAGGCAGCAGUGGGGAAUAUUGCACAAUGGGCGGAAGCCUGAUGCAGCAACGCCGCGUGCGGGAUGACGGCCUUCGGGUUGUAAACCGCUUUCGCCUGUGACGAAGCGUGAGUGACGGUAAUGGGUAAAGAAGCACCGGCUAACUACGUGC